CCAAGCAUACCAAAGUUAUAACAACUUUAACAUUUUUACAUUCAAGGUCACAGUGACCUUGACCUUCAAAUGAAUGACCUUGAAAUGUCCAGUGGUUACUUACUAGUUCUGGCCAACCUUCAUGUCAAGUUUCAAGACUCUAGGUCCAAGCAUACCAAAGUUAUAACAACUUUAACAUUUUUACAUUCAAGGUCACAGUGACCUUGACCUUCAAAUGAAUGACCUUGAAAUGUCCAGUGGUUACUUACUAGUUCUGGCCAACCUUCAUGUCAAGUUUCAAGACUCUAGGUCCAAGCAUACCAAAGUUAUAACAACUUUAACAUUUUUAUAUUGAAGGUCACAGUGACCUUCACCUUCAAAUGAAU